rnacentral:tRNA from 1 species
GGGGUCAUAGCUCAGUUGGUAGAGCGUCUGCUUUGCAAGCAGAAGGUCGUCGGUUCGAGACCGACUGGCUCCACCA